rnacentral:SRP_RNA from 1 species
GCCGAGCUUAGUAACGCUAGCUUCUAACUCGAGUGAGGGUAUUAAGGGGGCUAAGGGGUGAAUACACUACUGACAUUGGAUGAUGGCCGGGCCAAGAGUCUUGCUGGCUGCUUAGAGCAGCAAGGUUGGUUACUCUUGGCCGUAAGCGCCACAUUCCUUGUAUGGUAACUGUUAUCUCCACCUCCACCUUU